rnacentral:rRNA from 1 species
UGAAUACGAGAUGCUACGGCGUCGAAGCAGUCUAUGUCAUACUUCCAAGAAAAGCUUGCACUGUCAUAAACAAAUAAUGCCUGUACCAUAACCGACACAGGUGGGUAGGUAGAGUAUACUAAGGGGCGCGAGAUAACUCUCUCUAAGGAACUCGGCAAAAUGACUCCGUAACUUCGGGAGAAGGAGUGCCUUAUUUAUAAGGUUGCAAUAACAAGAUCCAAGCAACUGUUUACCAAAAACACAGGUCUCCGCUAAGUCGUAAGACGAUGUAUGGGGGCUGACGCCUGCCCAGUGCCAGAAGGUUAAAGAAGUUGGUUAGCACCCGCGAAGCUGAUAACUGAAGCCCUGGUGAACGGCGGCCGUAACAAUAACGGUCCUAAGGUAGCGAAAUUCCUUGUCGGGUAAGUUCCGACCCGCACGAAAGGCGUAAUGAUUUGGAUACUGUCUCGGAGAGGGGCUCGGUGAAAUAGACUUGUCUGUGAAGAUGCGGACUACCUGCACCAGGACAGAAAGACCCUAUGAAGCUUUACUGUAACCUGAAAUUGAAAUUGGACUUUACUUGCGCAGUAUAGGUGGGAGGCGUUGAGAAUAUCCUUGCGGGAUUAUUGGAGCCAUCAGUGAGAUACCACUCUUGUAAUGUUAGAUUUCUAACUUUGUAUCAUUAUCUGGUCAAAGAACAGUUUCAGGCGGGCAGUUUGACUGGGGCGGUCGCCUCCUAAACGGUAACGGAGGCGCACAAAGGUUUCCUCUGAACGGGUAGAAAUCGUAUCUAGAGUGUAAAGGCAUAAGGAAGCUUGACUGUGAGACCUACAAGUCGAGCAGGGACGAAAGUCGGUCUUAGUGAUCUGACGGUGCUGAGUGGAAAGGCCGUCACUCAACGGAUAAAAGUUACUCUAGGAUAACAGGCUGAUCUCCCCCAAGAGUUCACAUCGACGGGGAGGUUUGGCACCUCGAUGUCGGCUCAUCGCAUCCUGGGGCGGUAGUACGUCCCAAGGGUUGGGCUGUUCGCCCAUGAAAGCGGUACGCGAGCUGGGUUCAGAACGUCGUGAGACAGUUCGGUCCAUAUCCGGUGUAGGCGUUAGAAUAUUGAGAGGAGCCUUCUUUAGUACGAGAGGACCGAGAAGGACAUACCUCUGGUGUACCAGUUAUCGUGCCAACGGUAAACGCUGGGUAGCUAUGUGUGGAGUGGAUAACCGCUGAAAGCAUCUAAGUGGGAAGCCCACCUCAAGAUGAGUGCUCUCACAGGGUUAUCCUGGUAAGGUCACAGGAAGACCACCCGUUAAUAGGCACUAGGUGGAAGUCCAGUAAUGGA